GGGAGAGUAUGAGAGUUUGAGAUAUGGAGAGAUAGAGAGGGAUAUAAAGGGGAAAAGAGAGACGAACAGAGAUGGGGAGAGAGACAAAGACGGAAAAAUUUUAAAAUACAAUCAUUGUUUAUGACCAUUGAUUAUGGAGGGUCUCAUGUAUGACUCAAUCAUAACCAAUAAUCAGAGUGUAUUCAAUGGUUGCAUUAAAUAAAUUCUGAAGAGAGGAGGCUGAAAACAAUAAAAUAAAUUUC
rnacentral:misc_RNA from 1 species